rnacentral:lncRNA from 1 species
AUCUUCACCACUGCUCUCUCAGAGAUCCAGGUCCGGGAGAUGACAGUGGCUCCCAGAAAGCCCAGGAUUCAAUCGCUGAGAGAGUGCUUAGGCCCGAAUGCCGGCCCAAAUCGUUCUACUCACCGUGUCGGAGGCCGAGGCCGAGGCCGAGAGCGAUGAGAGUGCAGGGAAGUGGGGAAGAGGGGGUGGCCGCCAGGCUCCUCCGCUUCCCUGGGUCCACGGCGGAUCCCUCCCGCUUGUCAGGAGGCGGCCAGCGGGGGCAGGAGAGGAAGGGACGGGCCGAGCGGGUCGGGGCUUGCCGUUUGACUGGAAUUGCCAGAAUGGCGGACCGAGCCCCACGACAACCUACCUCCCUGGGCUCCUCGCCGCAGCGCUGCGGCUCGCCUCCCUCUGCUCCUCCUCCUCCGCCGGAUCGCGGCGAGCGGAUCGAGGACUGCCUAGCGCCCCUCUGCCCACCGGUGGUUGGAGGCCGCGGCGGCUGCGCGUUGAGUCGUUUCCUGCCGGUUGACCUGAGCCUACUUCGCAGUAGCAGGACCGCUGCUGUGGAGCUGGUCGCAGGCGGUGUGUGCCGGUCGCCUAGUCAGGAGAACUAGUCCUCGACUCACGGUGAGGGAAUGGACCGACACGGGUAUUGUACCGCUGAGGGAAAGGAGCGGGACUCCGGACCUCCAGGAGGUAGGGAGUGAGGCCAGUAGGACCGGCGCGCCUCCGGGGGGAUUCCUCCCGGGCGUUGAGUUGCCAACCUGGGACCCGAGGAAGAUCGGCGUGGUGGUGUGCUUUUUGUUGUUGUUAACCCUCCUCGGAUUUCUCGAAUUUCACACCACUGUCCAUAUGCGAUGAUGUUUGUUUGCCCUUGACGCACUUACUCAUGGAUGGUACUUCUUCAGCCUCGUUAGACAGCCUGGUGAUGGAGGAUGAAGAAA